GUGCCAGCCGCCGCGGUAAUACGAAGGUGGCAAGCGUUGUUCGGAUUUACUGGGCGUACAGGGAGCGUAGGCGGUUCGGUAAGCCCUCCGUGAAAUCUCCAGGCUUAACCUGGAAAGUGCAGAGGGGACUGCUGGGCUAGAGGAUGGGAGAGGAGCGCGGAAUUCCCGGUGUAGCGGUGAAAUGCGUAGAGAUCGGGAGGAAGGCCGGUGGCGAAGGCGGCGCUCUGGAACAUUUCUGACGCUGAGGCUCGAAAGCGUGGGGAGCAAACAGGAUUAGAUACCCUCGUAGUCC
rnacentral:rRNA from 1 species